CCCUUCUGUUCUAUUCCAGAUGCAACUCCCCGCUCCUGCCUCACAGUCUCCGUUGCGUAUUCUUCCUGACUCUUGAGUGUUGCAGCCACUUGCGCCUUCCAUCCGUCCAACAGUCCCGGAUACGCGGCACGUACGUAUGAAGGCAACGAGAAAAUGGCCAACCCUGCUUCUUUGGCAAAAGGCUUCAGAGUCUCCUUCUCUUGGAAUGUCAAGUCAAGCGGGGACAGGAGCUCACGAACAAACCGGUUUGUCUCCUCUUCCACCUGCUGUCUUUUCUGUGCGGAGUGGGUAAUCUGCUGUAUCUGCGGUGACAGUAAGCCCAGCGUUCCAUCUUCACACUCCCCCCCGGGGAGCAAAUCAAUCCGAGAUGAAGAGGAAACGGCCGGCUGAUUCAUUGGCUUCUCUGUCCGAGUACAACUUGGAUUUGAAGCCGUGUUCGUUUGUCCGACGCUGUUCUGGUCGAGACACCGGGGGGCCGUUACAGACUCCUGGGUGCUGAGACAAUCGAGUUUUUCCCAUGGCGCCUGACGAAAUUGCAGUUGGAAUCCGUUUGGCUGGGCAGAGAAGUCUCUCGCUUCUUGUGUCGCAAGUAUCGAACCAUCUAAUGAAGGGUCGCCAGAGUCGGGCGCAGCGGGAGCUCCUCGUUUCUGGAGUGAUUCCUUCUCAAGGACUUUUCGGCAACAGUCUUGUCGGGCGUCCCCUUGUUUUUGGACUGUUGGCGAAAACGUCUCUUCCCAAGUGGUCUGCAUCCGCUGGGAGACAGAUGCGUCACUUCUCGCAGUGCUUCUGCUGCUCAUUCUACGUUCGACGGUAGAUCCAGGUGACAUCCGAUGACUCCAGUUGCCAGUACCAACAGAACAAGGUGUGCGGAGCUGUCUGCGAUCGCGGUGGGUCAAACUGUGGAGUGAGAGAGCAGGGACAAGAGGAAAUUCGCCAGUGGGUGGGGAGUGUUCAGUGUGAAGGCUCCGCUUGGCAGGCGUGUUUUGUUCGUGCAAUACAGCGGGGGGAAGAGAAGUAGAAUCUUGACUGGAAGGGGGGCUGCUGUUGCCUGCUCUUCUGACGACGGCUGAAGAUUUUUGGCAACCUCGCGGAGUCAAAACUGACGAGGAAACUGGUGUAUAGGAAGUAUUGGAAGAUUCGA
rnacentral:lncRNA from 1 species